rnacentral:sRNA from 1 species
UCCCAGAAUACAUCUGCCCCUAACAACAU